GGCUGGUCCGAGGGCAGUGGGUUAUCACAACUUAUUAACAUUAGUGUCACUAAAGUUGGUAUACCACCCCCCCCAACUGCUAAAUUUGACUGGCUUAAA
ensembl:misc_RNA Y_RNA Y RNA